UACGGAGGGUGCGAGCGUUGUCCGGAAUCACUGGGCGUAAAGGGCGCGUAGGCGGCAGGCCAAGCGUGCGGUGAAAGUCCGGGGCUCAACCCCGGAUCUGCCGUGCGGACUGGUUUGCUGGAGCACUGUAGAGGCGAGUGGAAUUCCGGGUGUAGCGGUGGAAUGCGUAGAGAUCGGGAGGAACAUCAGUGGCGAAGGCGGCCAUCUGGGACAACACUGACGCUGAAGCACGAAAGCGUGGGGAGCAAACAGG
rnacentral:rRNA from 1 species